rnacentral:rRNA from 1 species
UACGGGGGGAGCAAGCGUUGUUCGGAUUUACUGGGCGUAAAGAGCGCGCAGGCGGUCGUUCAAGUCGAGUGUGAAAGCCCCCGGCUCAACUGGGGAGGGUCACUCGAUACUGAUCGACUCGAAGGCAGGAGAGGGAAGCGGAAUUCCCGGUGUAGUGGUGAAAUGCGUAGAUAUUGGGAGGAACACCGGUGGCGAAGGCGGCCCCCUGGACCGGUACUGACGCUAAAGCGCGAAAGCGUGGGUAGCAAACGGG